rnacentral:tRNA from 1 species
AGUCCCGAGGUGUUUAACAUAUCAGAUUGCAAAUCUGAAGAAGCAGGCUAGCGUUUGCCGGGGCUU